CACUGGGGAAGGAUGUCUGGUUGGACAACCCUCCCUUGUAGAGUCUUCCCUGGGAGCCUUGGUCUUCAGUGAUGGGAAUUCGCUCCUGGAAUAUUGACCCUCUGUCCUGCGAUCUGAAUCAGCAGCUGCGACUCUUUGUAACCCGGCAUCUGGCCCAGUUUUCUUCAGAAGUCAGAGAGCAAGGGGUGAUAAAUGCAAUGCCAGACUAUAAAGAAGGUCUCAGGAGGGAUCCAGGGGAUCACAAGCCUGUCAACCAGCUGUAAAUUCUGCUGAUCAAAUCAGUACAAUAAAGAACAGAAUUAGUGCCCACCUGAGAAUAGUCACCACUGUUCCUACAAAGAGAAAUCCUGCUUUUCAAGUGUAUUGAAUUUCAGAAUC